UGCAGUUAACGCAAUAAGUUCUCCGCCUGGGGAGUAUGCACGCAAGUGUGAAACUCAAAGGAAUUGACGGGGGCCCGCACAAGCGGUGGAGUAUGUGGUUUAAUUCGACGCAACGCGAAGAACCUUACCAGGUCUUGACAUCCCCUGCAAAGCUAUGGAGACAUAGUGGAGGUUAUCAGGGAGACAGGUGGUGCAUGGUUGUCGUCAGCUCGUGUCGUGAGAUGUUGGGUUAAGUCCCGCAACGAGCGCAACCCUUGUCUUUAGUUACUAACAUUCAGUUGAGGACUCUAGAGAGACUGCCGGUGACAAACCGGAGGAAGGUGGGGAUGACGUCAAAUCAUCAUGCCCCUUAUGACCUGGGCUACACACGUACUACAAUGGCGGAUACAACGAGAAGCAAGACAGUGAUGUGGAGCAAAACUCAGAAAGUCCGUCUCAGUUCGGAUUGAAGUCUGCAACCCGACUUCAUGAAGCCGGAAUCGCUAGUAAUCGCGGAUCAGCAUGCCGCGGUGAAUACGUUCUCGGGCCUUGUACACACCGCCCGUC
rnacentral:rRNA from 1 species